AUUGAACGCUGGCGGCAUGCCUUACACAUGCAAGUCGAACGGUAACAGGUCUUCGGAUGCUGACGAGUGGCGAACGGGUGCGUAAUACAUCGGAACGUGCCCAGACGUGGGGGAUAACGAGGCGAAAGCUUUGCUAAUACCGCAUACGAUCUAAGGAUGAAAGCAGGGGACCGCAAGGCCUUGCGCGUUUGGAGCGGCCGAUGGCAGAUUAGGUAGUUGGUGGGAUAAAAGCUUACCAAGCCGACGAUCUGUAGCUGGUCUGAGAGGACGACCAGCCACACUGGGACUGAGACACGGCCCAGACUCCUACGGGAGGCAGCAGUGGGGAAUUUUGGACAAUGGGCGAAAGCCUGAUCCAGCAAUGCCGCGUGCAGGAUGAAGGCCUUCGGGUUGUAAACUGCUUUUGUACGGAACGAAAAGGCUCUGGCUAAUACCUGGGGCACAUGACGGUACCGUAAGAAUAAGCACCGGCUAACUACGUG
rnacentral:rRNA from 1 species